CACGUAGGCACCAAGCGUUAUCCGGAUUUAUUGGGCGUAAAGAGCUCGUAGGCGGUUUGGUAAGUCGGGUGUGAAAACUCUGGGCUCAACCCAGAGAGGCCACCCGAUACUGCUGUGACUAGAGUGCGGUAGGGGAGCGGGGAAUUCCUGGUGUAGCGGUGAAAUGCGUAGAUAUCUGGAGGAACACCGGUGGCGAAGGCGGCAUUCUGGACCGAUAUUGACGCUGAGGAGCGAAAGCCAGGGGAGCAAACGGG
rnacentral:rRNA from 1 species